CUGACAAGUUGGCGGCCCCCAUGCCGCCAUCUUCGCGAGGAGGGGAUAGAUCGACGCGUCAAGAAAUCGUUUCAAUUGCCAUGGCUUCCCGUAGGCAAUAUGAUUGUUGCUUGCGUACAC
rfam:Triticum aestivum genome assembly, contig: Triticum_aestivum_CS42_TGACv1_scaffold_579287_7BL